AUUGAACGCUGGCGGCAUGCCUUACACAUGCAAGUCGAACGGCAGCAUGAUCUAGCUUGCUAGAUUGAUGGCGAGUGGCGAACGGGUGAGUAAUACAUCGGAACGUGCCCUGUAGUGGGGGAUAACUAGUCGAAAGAUUAGCUAAUACCGCAUACGACCUGAGGGUGAAAGUGGGGGACCGCAAGGCCUCAUGCUAUAGGAGCGGCCGAUGUCUGAUUAGCUAGUUGGUGGGGUAAAGGCCCACCAAGGCGACGAUCAGUAGCUGGUCUGAGAGGACGAUCAGCCACACUGGGACUGAGACACGGCCCAGACUCCUACGGGAGGCAGCAGUGGGGAAUUUUGGACAAUGGGGGCAACCCUGAUCCAGCAAUGCCACGUGUGUGAAGAAGGCCUUCGGGUUGUAAAGCACUUUUGUCCGGAAAGAAAUCGCACUUACUAAUAUUAGGUGUGGAUGACGGUACCGGAAGAAUAAGGACCGGCUAACUACGUG
rnacentral:rRNA from 1 species